rnacentral:rRNA from 1 species
GAGUUUGAUCAUGGCUCAGGAUUAACGCUGGCGGCAUGCCUAAUACAUGCAAGUCGAACGGAGUAGCAAUACUUAGUGGCGAACGGGUGAGUAACACGUAUCUAAUCUACCAUUUAGUGGGGAAUAACCGUUGGAAACGACAGCUAAUACCGCAUAAUAUUGCUGGAUAAUUUCCAGUAAUGAAAGGAGCUUUCAAGCUCCGCUGAUUGAUGAGGAUGCGGCGCAUUAGCUAGUUGGUAGGGUAAUGGCCUACCAAGGCAAUGAUGCGUAGCCGAUCUGAGAGGAUGAACGGCCACAUUGGGACUGAGACACGGCCCAAACUUCUACGGAAGGCAGCAGUAGGGAAUUUUUCACAAUGGGCGAAAGCCUGAUGGAGCAAUGCCGCGUGACUGAUGAAGGUCUUCGGAUUGUAAAGGUCUGUUGUAAGGGAAGAAAUGGUAAAACAGGAAAUGGUUUUAUCUAUGACGGUACCUUACCAGAAAGCCACGGCUAACUAUGUGCCAGCAGCCGCGGUAAUACAUAGGUGGCAAGCGUUAUCCGGAUUUAUUGC